UUAUAAGUCAAGCUGUUUUGCAGACGUCAAGCAGCCAUGCAGGCUUUGGAGUUUCAUUAUGCAUUUAUAAAAUUUACAAAUAAAAUAGGAUUAAUGCCACAAGGACACUGAAUCAAGUAAAGAAGAUAAUUAAAGUAUUUAGUCCAUUUCUCAAGACUGUGAAUGCCGCCAGAAAACACUGAUUGACCCGUCUCUGCCUCGUCAUUCAAAACUGGCACAUGAUAAUUGGAGUGCUGCAUCCAUUUAAACAAACUGCCUGGAGUGAAGGAACUUCUAGAUAUAAUCAAGUCGUGUAGCUUUCGGUCAGAAGUAGACAGAGCGAAAGUCAGCUUGUCAGUUAUAUUAUGAAGUUGCAUGACAUCCUCACUUUUGAAAUUCUUGAAAAGAAAUAAAUCAUUCAUAUCAGCCCGGUCAUUGAUGUUGAAACACAGUCGCUGGCCCUCGAUGUGGGGAUGCUUUCAAGAAUUAUUUCCUCACCAUUUGAUCUGGCACAUGUACCUUCAUCCUUGAUCCUGUUGUGACAUGUGCCGUAUCUGUUAGCCAUUUGGCUCCUUGUGAUAACAGCAGUGAAGACAGAGCUGAGACGUUCUUCUGUGCUUUGAACGGGGGCUGGAUCUCUCUGGUACACAGCACCGCGUAAAGGGACUUCUAAUCAGCUGCCAGUAUUCUUCCUUGUCUUCUUGAUAUUACAGUUUCCCUUGGUGAUUCAUAGUAGCACCUAAAAUACAUUAUCCAUGGCGCACUACAUGGCGCUCACACCCUUUUGUGGGUGUUACAUGACAUUCGCUCGUCUGUUUUCACUGGAGAGCGAACUCACAAGUCUCCACAGUGUGGAUUAACAAUGAAACCCUGAGUAAAAGAAGACGACAGUAAUGUUGGCCUGACUCAAAGAGCAUGAAGAGAACAUGAACUGAAGUAGAGCUGGAUGUCAAAGACACUGUCCUCUCUGUCUGUCUCUGUCUGUCUGUCUGUUCCUGUUGUGUGACGGCCUGACACACCAAAGCUGAACCGAAGAUGAACAGGAGCAUGUUGGUGCAGAGAUGCAGAGGCUCUUUGUCUGUGUGACACACUGUGUUCUCAAUAAAGCUAAGUUGUGGCAAUCAA